CAAGGAAUAUUGUGCAAUGGGCGAAAGCCUGAUGCAGCAACGCCGCGUGCGGGACGAAGGCCCUAGGGUUGUAAACCGCUUUCAGUAGGGAAGAAAAUGACGGUACCUACAGAAGAAGGUGCGGCCAACUACGUGCCAGCAGCCGCGGUGACACGUAGGCACCAAGCGUUAUCCGGAUUUAUUGGGCGUAAAGAGCUCGUAGGCGGUUUGGUAAGUCGGGUGUGAAAACUCUGGGCUCAACCCAGAGAGGCCACCCGAUACUGCUAUGACUAGAGUACGGUAGGGGAGCGGGGAAUUCAUGGUGUAGCGGUGAAAUGCGCAGAUAUCAUGAGGAACACCAGCGGCGAAGGCGCCGCUCUGGGCCGUAACUGACGCUGAGGAGCGAAAGCAUGGGUAGCAAACAGGAUUAGAUACCCUGGUAGUCCAUGCCGUAAACGUUGGGCACUAGGUGUGGGUCUCAACCAACGAGAUCCGCGCCGUCGCUAACGCAUUAAGUGCCCCGCCUGGGGAGUACGGUCGCAAGACUA
rnacentral:rRNA from 1 species